rnacentral:lncRNA from 1 species
UUUGAGACUACAAUAAGAGCUCUUUAUGGGUUUAAAAUUACCAUUCUGCAAUACUGGCAAACCAUUACCUCUUCCAGGAAAGCUGCUCUGUAGUACUGCAGGAAAGUUAUCCCUCUGGUGUUGUAAGCUGCGCCAUUGCAGUCCUGUAUUCCUGACCAGAGGCUACUUCAGCAAGGGAUUGAAUGGCUUCAUGACCUUGAUGGAUGCACAGAGUCAGUUCAAGAGCACUCAGCUGUGCAAAUGAAAUGCUGGCACCUCACUGAUAAGAGAGGAGAGUGCCCAUGCCAGGGCAGAGUGGGGGGGGGGACAUGUAAGGAUGCAGCAGAUAAUGGUGGCUCGAGGUGAUGGCUCCAGCUCUGAGCUUGCCUUUUUGGGCAGAUAGGCAAUAUAGGCACCCUACCAACUUCAAGACAGUCCCUUUCCCUCUAUGGCAGGAAUAACUCGUCUGGUUUGCCAAGGCUUCACUAUAAACAAAAUGCCUAAUGAAGUAUUUUUCUAACAAUUUUCUUCUCCUAGAGCUGCUGGAGGUCAGAGCCAUCCCAGAGCAGUUUGCUCACCUGUGGACUUCAGCUACACCAGCACAGACCUUCCAUGUCUACUGGGGAGAGGUGACAGCACUGAUUAAUUUGACCUUCUGCUCUACAAAUGAUAAUCUACAUCUGUGUCUUAUUCUGGAACAGAGCCCAAAGUCCUGGAUCUGUUGUAUCUCGGCACACAAUUGCAAAAGGAGGAAUGUGAUGUGAUUCUAGAAGUGCAGCAGAAGGGAGGAAGCUGCACUUCCCCAAGGUUCCCUGCCCACUUAAAGACCAUAUUCAUCAGGAUACACCUGCUGAGUUUCUUGCUGUGAACAUCUGACAGGCAGCUGAUAAAAAAGGACAGAACCGAGGGAGCAGAGAGCCAAAGAAUGAAAGGAUGCAAAAGAUGUUGGCAUUUUCCUGCUUACUUUUGGGAUGCUGCUGUGAUUCAAUGCAAGCUAAAAUGGCUUUGUCCUCACACUGGGUGCACAGCAAAAUGGAUGCAUUGCUGUGUGGAAUCCAGUGUCCCCUGCUCCAAGUGCUGUUCCCCCUUUUAACAAGGAGAUUUAACCAAAUGGGGAGCUGACGUUACUUCCUAAGGGUGCAGACAUUCCUAACAAGGAGGUCAAUGACAACUUCAAGCAUAGCAAAAAGAUUAUUCCUCUCAUUCUUCAGAACAACAUUAUCAUUUAUUACCUGUCACUGGGAAUACAAUAAGAAUCCUAAAGAUGUCUUGGAGACAAUUUGGAGAAGCAAAACUUACAAUUUGCAAACUGCACAUAACAUUUCUCUGAGACAUAAAAAGUUCCUGAGGUUCCUGCCUGCAAGAGGGUGCCAUAAGCAUCCCUGCAGAUAUUUAUUCUGACCUCCUGGACCUUUGUCCGGGGCUCAUUCAUUGGGUUUAAAUAAAUAAGCAUUAACAAACCCA